GAUGAACGCUAGCUACAGGCUUAACACAUGCAAGUCGCGGGGCAGCAUGGGGCUUUCUUGCGAUCCCCGAUGGCCAACCGGGCACGGGAGAGUAAAGUGUACUGCCCCUGCCCUUCAGCUCACGACAACACGCCGAGAGUCGGACCAAUUCCGUGCGCCGUCUGUUGGGUGCAUGCGGUAUGGAUGCAACGCUUGGGGGUGGACGCGCGGGGAAGCGUCCGAUUUGCUUGACGGCGGGGUACCGGGGCACCGUGGCUUCGAUCGGUAGGGGUUCUGAGAGGAAGGUCCCCCACACUGGAACUGGGACACGGUCCAGACUCCUACGGGAGGCAGCAGUGAGGAAUAUUGGUCAAUGGGCGUAAGCCUGAACCAGCCAAGUAGCGUGCAGGAUGACGGCCCUAUGGGUUGUAAACUGCUUUUAUGCGGGGAUAAAGUGGCCCACGGGUGGGCUUUUGCAGGUACCGCAUGAAUAAGGACCGGCUAAUUCCGUG
rnacentral:rRNA from 1 species